CUGGCCCCUCUCCCCACCAUGAGCCCCCAUCACCCGCAUCUCCACCCGCCGAAUGCUCAGGGUCAGUCUCUGCCCUCCUCCAGGACUCCUUCAGCACCUCGUCAGCACAGAGGGCAAGGGGCCUCCGCCCUCCCUGUGGACAGCAGCUUGCAGGGAGGGGGUCCUCCUCCCAGAAGCCUUCCUGAAUUAUCACAGUGGGGCAGAUGGCAGCCCCUCGCCACACAAACUGGACCAGGGCCUUCUGUCUCCCCCGCAGGCCCUGGGGCCCCGUCUGCCUCAUAUCACCCAGCGCUGGCAUGCUGUGCGGCAGAGUGGCGUCCAGCAUUUUCCAGGGAGAAAUGUCACUUCUUUGCGGAUGGGGGCGCCUGGUUGAUUGUUUACAUGUAUGUCCUCAGGACCUGGCCCACAACGGGUUCCAAAUAGCUCUGUAGGGAGGGACAGCCCUGUAGGGACUGCUGCGGGCACCUCGGUUCACCCGGCUCUGGGCAUCCUCACCCAGGCGUGUCAGCAGAGCUGCUUCCGAUGGGAUCUGCUGCUUCAUCUGAGGGAGUGUCUCCCUGGACCAGUUCCUGUCCAACAUCUGGGCCAAUGAGGCCUGCAGGGGCCUGGGCCAGGGUGUUGCGUCACAGAGCAGGCCCAGCAGGCCCACAGGGAGGAGACUGGUCAGGCAGGAGCAGGGCUGACUGGUGGUCUGUAUAGGUUUGCGCAGCUGCUGCAACACAUCACCACUGACUCAGUUCCCUCCAACAGCACAUGGUAGCUCCCUUCCUCACUUUCCUGCUGCACUGUUCCUGAAAAGGACACCAGGAUUGCAGUGAGCCCGCCCGGAUAGUCGAGGACAUCUCCAACUCCAUACCCUUCAUUUCAUCACCUCUGUAAAGUCCAUCUUUACUGUGAAGUAACACAUUCACAUUCCAGGCGAUGGCAUAGAAUGAGCAGAAGUGCGCCCAGCCGCGGGGGUGCUCAGAAAGGGGUCCUUGGCUGUCAGGUGCACAGAAGAGAAAGAGAUGGUGCUUUCUGCCUGAAGGUGCUCAAGGAAGGCCGCAAUAGUACCUUCAAGAAUGCUCAGGGGAGGGGACUUCCCUGCUGGUCCGGUGGUUAAGACUCUCAGCUCCCAAUGCAGGGGGCCCAAGUUCGAUCCCUGGUCAGGGAACUAGAUCCCACAUGCUGCAGCUAAGACCUGGUGCAGCCAAAUAAAUGAAUAAAUAUUAAAAAAAAAAAAUGCUCAGGGGAGUGUCAUCUGGC
ensembl:lncRNA